CAGUCGCCGCGGUAAUACAGAGGGUGCGAGCGUUAAUCGGAUUUACUGGGCGUAAAGCGUGCGUAGGCGGCUUUUUAAGUCGGAUGUGAAAUCCCUAAGCUUAACUUAGGAAUUGCAUUCGAUACUGGGAAGCUAGAGUAUGGGAGAGGAUGGUAGAAUUCCAGGUGUAGCGGUGAAAUGCGUAGAGAUCUGGAGGAAUACCGAUGGCGAAGGCAGCCAUCUGGCCUAAUACUGACGCUGAGGUACGAAAGCAUGGGGAGCAAACAGGAUUAGAUACCCCCGUAGUCCUGUCUCUUAUACA
rnacentral:rRNA from 1 species